rnacentral:tRNA from 1 species
GGAACUGUGCCUGAAUUCUAAGGGCCACUUUGAUAGAGUGUAUCAUAGGGGUUAAAGUCCCCUCAGCUCCUA